rnacentral:piRNA from 1 species
UNCCGCCUAUUGACACUGGAGUUAGC